GCGUGGAUGGGGUAGUGGUAACCUCAGUCGUUGCCAUUAAGCAACGCUCGACUGGCCCCGGGUUCGAUUCCCGGUCCACGCA